rnacentral:rRNA from 1 species
GACGAACCGUGCGAACGUUAUUCGGAAUCACUGGGCUUAAAGCGCGUGUAGGCGGCCCGGCACGUCAUCGGCUGAAAUCCCCCGGCUCAACCGGGGAAGGGGCCGUGAUACGACCGGGCUGGAGGGGGGUAGGGGGGACGGGAACUUCCGGUGGAGCGGUGAAAUGCGUUGAGAUCGGAAGGAACGCCCGCGGCGAAAGCGCGUCCCUGGACCCCGCCUGACGCUGAGACGCGAAAGCCAGGGGA